rnacentral:rRNA from 1 species
AAUAGAUACCCAGGUAGUCCACGCCGUAAACGAUGGAUACUAGCUGUUGGGGGCAACUUCAGUGGCUAAGCGAAAGUGAUAAGUAUCCCACCUGGGGAGUACGAACGCAAGUUUGAAACUCAAAGGAAUUGACGGGGGCCCGCACAAGCGGUGGAGCAUGUGGUUUAAUUCGAUGAUACGCGAGGAACCUUACCAAGGCUUAAAUGCAGACUGACCGAUUUGGAAACAGAUCUUUCGCAAGACAGUUUACAAGGUGCUGCAUGGUUGUCGUCAGCUCGUGCCGUGAGGUGUCAGGUUAAGUCCUAUAACGAGCGCAACCCCUGUUGUUAGUUGCCAGCGAGUAGUGUCGGGAACUCUAACAAGACUGCCAGUGCAAACUGUGAGGAAGGUGGGGAUGACGUCAAAUCAUCACGGCCCUUACGCCUUGGGCUACACACGUGCUACAAUGGCCGGUACAGAGAGCAGCCACCCCGGCGAGGGGGAGCGAAUCUAUAAAGCCGGUCACAGUUCGGAUCGGAGUCUGCAACUCGACUCCG